rnacentral:rRNA from 1 species
CCUGCCGGAGGCCAUUGCUAUUGGAGUCCGAUUUAGCCAUGCUAGUCGCACGGGUUCAGACCCGUGGCGAAUAGCUCCGUAACACGUGGCCAAACUACCCUAUGGAUCGGAAUAACCUCGGGAAACUGAGGCUAAUACCGAAUACCGCUCUCACGUUGGAAUUACAGAGAGCACGAAACGCUCCGGCGCCAUAGGAUGUGGCUGCGGCCGAUUAGGUAGACGGUGGGGUAACGGCCCACCGUGCCGAUAAUCGGUACGGGUUGUGAGAGCAAGAGCCCGGAGACGGUAUCUGAGACAAGAUACCGGGCCCUACGGGGCGCAGCAGGCGCGAAACCUUUACACUGCACGAACGUGCGAUAAGGGGACUCCAAGUGCGAGGGCAUACAGUCCUCGCUUUUUCCUACCGUAAGGUGGUAGGCGAAUAAGAGCUGGGCAAGACCGGUGCCAGCCGCCGCGGUAAUACCGGCAGCUCGAGUGAUGGCCAAUAUUAUUGGGCCUAAAGCGUCCGUAGCUGGCCGAACAGGUCUGUCGGGAAAUCCGCUCGCUCAACGAGCGGACGUCCGGCGGAAACCAGUCGGCUUGGGACCGGAAGACCCGAGGGGUACGUCCGGGGUAGGAGUGAAAUCCUGUAAUCCUGGACGGACCACCGGUGGCGAAAGCGCCUCGGGAGGACGGAUCCGACAGUGAGGGACGAAAGCUAGGGUCACGAACCGGAUUAGAUACCCGGGUAGUCCUAGCUGUAAACGAUGCUCGCUAGGUGUGGCACUGGCUACGAGCCAGUGCUGUGCCGUAGGGAAGCCGAGAAGCGAGCCGCCUGGGAAGUACGUCCGCAAGGAUGAAACUUAAAGGAAUUGGCGGGGGAGCACUACCACCGGAGGAGCCUGCGGUUUAAUUGAU